CUCUAAAAGAAAGUAAGUAAAUAAAUAAAUAAACUUAAUUCCCUGCCCACCACCCCCCGAAAAAAAUGAAAAAAAAAAAAAAACCCAACAACACCAGCAAGAGCAUGAUGACAAAUGCAAGGGACAAAGUAGCUGAGCGGUGGAGGCAGGGGUGUGGGGACUGGGGGGCUGUGGAGGUGGGUGGGAACUGGAGAGUAACCCAGCCCUGCAGAGGAGGGACAGCUGAUGCUCAGAGCUUCCAGCAAAAUGUUGUCAGAGGGGACGUGGCCCCACCCUGGCUGGUUCCUCAGAUUUCUAAAGAAAACCUGGAAGUGGAUUUUUAUGAAAAAGUCCGUGGUUUUCCAAUGUUGGCCACUAAUUCCCCCUUUUUAAAAGGCAUGUGAGCCAAACAUCUUUGGUGAGGUUGGGCAAGUGGCUAUGUUUGCCAUAUCUGGUUUAAAUCGGAAUGAUUUGAAAGAUACCUGCAUUUUAACAUCUCCUUUUUUCCCUUUGAUUUUCAAGAGAACUCUGAAGUAACAGAGAAAGGAAUGAGCACAGAAGGCAUGUGAUUUACUGGCUGUGAGUCACAAAAGAUGGUGAUAGCACAGAACCUCACAGAACCUACUUCUUUUAAAUUUAAGGAACCUGGCCACAGUGCAGCUGACUUUCUGCAUUUUAUUUGGAUGUGGUUUUUAAAACAAGCAAACAUAUGAACAAAAACCCAGAGAUGACCUGUCAGUGUUAAUCCUUUGAGAAGAAAUUAAAACUCUACUUGGCAGCGUGAAUGUGACGAGGCUUUUGGCUACUGACCUUCAAUUUUCACCUCGGCUUCAGGGUCCUCACUCGUUUCUGAAGGGACAAGUUGAGCAGAAUCUU